rnacentral:rRNA from 1 species
UACGGAGGGUGCAAGCGUUAUCCGGAUUCACUGGGUUUAAAGGGUGCGUAGGCGGGUUUGUAAGUCAGUGGUGAAAUCCCCGAGCUUAACUUGGGAACUGCCAUUGAUACUGUCAAGUCUUGAAUACUGUGGAGGUUAGCGGAAUAUGUCAUGUAGCGGUGAAAUGCUUAGAUAUGACAUAGAACACCAAUUGCGAAGGCAGCUGGCUACACAAUUAUUGACACUGAGGCUCGAAAGCGUGGGGAGUCAAACAGGA